rnacentral:rRNA from 1 species
UACGACGGCAGCAGAAGAAACGGGUCGCCGGCGGCGGCGUGGCGUACGAGCACACGUCCCCGCUCUUCCCCUUGGUGGCGGGCGGGGCCUCGCGCUCUCCACUCUGUCGCGGGUCUAGGUGCCGCCGUAGCUGCACGGCAGCAGCUGGACUCGGCGAUACCAGAGUGGGACGACACGAGGAAGGGGAGGUGCCGAGGAUCGAGCCCGUUGUUGUUCGGUAGAGUUCCCUCACCUAAGAGUUCAGUGGGGUGAAGGUUAGGUACCUGCGGUAGGUGUUCCUGGUUCUACUGCUGCGCGUGUAGGAGGGAGAGGCUCGACGUCCGUGGGAGGCACCUACUCCUGCUGUUGGUCCCGUAGGUACCAGCUGUCGAGCUACCGAGGAGCCUCAUGGAACAACUUGGUUGAGAAACCCUGAUUAAAAUGCCUCUUGGAUGAGCCGCCAGGACUACAACGUGAGCCGUCGCCGCGGCCGCCACCGUAGCAGAACAAAGUCUAAAUGACUUAACCGGUACUUCCCACCGACUCGGUAGUCCUCGCCAUCGCCACCGGACGACACCUGCGACGACGCCGAGGGACAAGAAGUAGCGGACGCAGAUGGACGAGGCACGGCUGGGGUAUACACGUCCUUCUUUUCCCGGUAUUCUAACAUGUCUGUCUUAUCGUACAACAAGACAAGUUGGUGUAACUAGGACUAUACCAACGUUUCCAACUUCUUCUCAUACAGCUAGGUCUCGGAUGCGUUCGAUGGUGGGGGUCGGUUGUCAUUCAAGGACGUUCUGUUUGUGUUGUUGUACACACACCGUAUUCAUUUAUUGACUCAAUUAAAACAAGGAUACUAUACUGGACUUUGUAGAAGCGCAAUCUAAAGUACAUGAAUGAUUACGAAACUGGACUUUGACCUUGGUGACAUCGACAAGACGACGGUUAUAUUGAAGCAAACGUAAAUCAAACAGCAUUAUAAUUAAGUCCAAGAUAUCAGACGAUCCAAUUCAACAAAUAAGUCAAUUCAAGGGUAGAUUAACGGACUUAAUCAGUACAUACCUCUCGUCGACUUUCAAUCUUGUCCCAUACGUUGUUAUCACACUAAAUACAACGACCUUCAUGACGGUUACGAGAACAGUAAAAAAUCGAAACGAGAGCCAAAACAACCGUUCCCCAGAAACCAGUACUUAGGUAUAAUCUUACAUUUAUCAAGCCGUGGUUCCCUGUUAGCUUUAAUGAUAGUACUAUAAGAUCCAUCAUUAAUGAGUUUUUAUUAAAAAAAACAAGAAAGUCAAAAGAGGAAAUCAAACCAUACUACUACUCAACUACGGGGGCAGUACAUUAAUAAGGUUCUAUUGUACUNNNNNNNNNNUCCUGGAGCCGGCAACCUAGCUGGGCCAUUGUGACGAUGUUAUUUAUCAAUGGAGGGCGACAUUUUCUAGAGCACGGUGGCGGACAUUAAGAGCACGGUGCGGCUCCCGUAAAAUCAGUAAAGUAAUAUCCCAUAUUUUAGAGUGGUCGAGGUACAUCUUGGGAUCGGCGAGCGGGGCGGCGGAGCGAGCGGGACGGGACGGCAGAGCGGGCAGGGCGGCGGGGCGGCAGAGCGGGCGGGGUGGAGGGGCGGGGCGGG